CCUACGGGGCGCAGCAGUGAGGAAUAUUGGUCAAUGGACGAGAGUCUGAACCAGCCAAGCAGCGUGAAGGAUGACUGCCCUCUGGGUUGUAAACUUCUUUUAUAUGGGAAUAAAAUGUUCCACGUGUGGGAUUUUGUAUGUACCAUAUGAAUAAGGAACGGCUAACUCCGUGCCAGCAGCCGCGGUCAUACGGAGGAUCCGAGCGUUAUCCGGGUUUAUUGGGUUUAAAGGGAGCGUAGGUGGAUUGUUAAGUCAGUUGUGAAAGUUGGCGGCUCAACCGUAAAAUUGCAGUUGAAACUGGCAGUCUUGAGUACAGUAGAGGUGGGUGGAAUUCGUGGUGUAGCGGUGAAAUGCUUAGAUAUUACGAAGAACACCGAUGGCGAAGGCAGCUAACUGGACUGCAACUGACACUGAGGCUCGAAAGUGUGGGGAUCAAACAGGAUUAGAUACCCUUGUAGUC
rnacentral:rRNA from 1 species